AUUUUGGGUUGCAGAUUUUUGGUUGGAAAUAUUUUUGCAGCUUCUGAUCUCCUGAACAUCAAGGGUUAUUUUUUGCCAAACUUUGCCUCUUUCACUCCUGUUGUGCUAGCUCCCAGCAAAGCUGCUGCUGCUGAGUGCAUGGAGCUCACGAGCUCCCUACCUUGAAUGCUGCCUCUCAGGGUUUGCUUCAACUGUAUAAGCACUUCACAAGGUUCCAGUUUCCAGCCUUUAACUGAGUGCCUAAGGCAUGUGUGUCCAACCUUUUGGCUUCCCUGGACCACUCUGAGUGAAGAGGAAUUGUCUUAGGCUGCAUAUAUGUCGGUCACUCUGAAAGUAAUGCCUCCUAUUUAUUUCCAUGGAAACUACAACAGAUACAAAGAGAGCGGUAACACUGCUUGAUAGAGAAAAUUCUCAGCUACAAAACACUAUUUUUCAACACAGUCAGUCACCACCAUGAGCUAUGCAUUUUCACCAAUGAUGAACAAGAGCCUGCAUGCCACACUCAUAAAGAUCUGCAUGAGCAAUGUGACCCACUUUCACUGUUACUGCUGCUGAAACACCCCAUCCACCGCCUCACUGUGCUCACUGUGCUCAGAUCCACUGGUUGGUCUCUACAGACAUUCAGCAAGUGUCAAUGGAUAUCAGUGGGAGCCAUUUUUUCUGCAUGGAGGAAUUCAGUGGCGCACUUUUCUUCACAUGCACUUCCAUGUCAGAUGGUAUUGUAUCAGAGUGCCCCUCUGCUGCCAUCUGUCACUUGACAACAAAAUGUGAUGGGAUAUUGGUGGGAAGGUUCAACUUGUACUGCCAAACCACUGACAACUGCCUUGAAUAUUGUGGACCAACAUCAUAAAACAGAAGGCAUUACUUUUGGGACAGCCUCAUAAAAUAUACAAUAUAGCUAAUGUGUAUAAGUAACAAAACAUUUUAAUUUUUAAAUUUUUUAAUUAAAACAUAAGAAGGGACAGCAACAAAACCAUAAAACUAGUGGGAUAUGUGAUUCUGUAUUUGUGAAACUAACGCUUUGGUCUGGUUCAGUGGCAGUGGCUGCCAUUCUUAGUACGAUCUCAAGAGGUUAAUCAGAGAUUUUUGUUGCAUUUUAUUUUUCCUGUGCUUUAUCCAUGAAAACAGUUGUUUGCAAGUAUACAUACUCCCAGAAAGUGAUGACAUGAAUAAGGUGUGACUAUGAAGUGAG
ensembl:lncRNA